ensembl:lncRNA
CACGCAGCUCGCUGGACUGUCAGGUGAGACGUGGUGACUUCCUACUGGGGAGCUGAUCUCCGUAUCCGGUGAACGUUGUUUCUGAAUAAUUCCAUCUUUCCUCAUUGGACACCUUCUUGAAUUGUAAAACGUUACAGGUAACCAAAAACGAAAAAAGGUGUGAAGCUCGUUAUGAAUAUUUUUCUGUAAUUUGUGCAUUUUUUUCCUUUUCUUUUCUGAACCCACUGUCUUUUAUAUUACUGAUGUACUGAGCUCCCAAAUCUGUUUAUUUAUCAGGAAAGAAAAAGCGAGUGCUGUGGAAUUUGCCGUUGUUCUCUAUGACUCUAUCUUGAGGAGCUGUUGAAAGCUCCUGCUCAGAGGACAACGUGUGGAUCCCUGAGAAGGCAGUGGAGGUCUCCCUGACUCCCACGCCAGGUCCUGCCCCAGUUUUCUGCUUCUAAGGAGUUUUGUGCUGCUGGGAAAAUUUUCGAACAAAUCCAUGUGUUCCCUCAUCCCCCCUCCCCCCGGCUUUAGCCACAGGGUUAGAUGGAAUACCCUCCAGGCUCCUCCCGGGUGAUAGGGCCAUUCAGCCUCUGAGCUGUUCAUACCUGGAUGGCAUCCCCUUCAGGAUGCGGAGCUGGCCUGCACUGACUCCUGCAAACAGUUCCGAGAGCAGGUCUCGACGUCGCUUGCCCUUUAAGAGGGCUCCUAGCUGCUUGAGCGGAUGAGAAAUGCGCAGAACUAUGGGAGGAUAGGAGUGUGAUGGGCUUUAAGCAUGAGCCAAGGAAGGCAUGAAUGAGCUGUACCUCACCCAAGAUCUGACGGCAGACAUCAGUAAACUUCACGAUGUGCUUCAUCUCAAACCCUAGUCUAACGCCAGUCUUCCUGCAGACAGUUCCGAGAGCAGGUCUCGACGUCGCUUGCCCUUUAAGAGGGCUCUCGGCUGCUCGAGUGGGUGAGGAUCAGUGUGUGAAGAUUGAUAUUAGACUAGGAAAACAAACCUUAGUUAACUUUUAUUUUCAUUUCUGCUGCUGCUUUGCUGCACCUCCUUUCUCUUCCCUUCAGGGUUUACUGUGGUUCUCACUGGUCUGUUUCUGUAGCCUUCCAGGAGAGAGGAGAGCAUUUUGGGGACUGAAAGCUUCAAGUUCCUGCCAAGGAACUGGUUCCUGCCCUCGUGGUUGGUGAGGAGGGUGGUCUGCAUAUUUAGCUAGCUAGUUAUUUGCAUGUGAAGUCCCCAGAGGCUUACAGACUGUUGAGAGGUUCUGCAAGGCAUGCAAGCAAACAGACCAACAGUCUGGAAAGUUCUUGGAGCUCUGCAGCAUUCCGGUGUGUGAAAGGCUCUGAGAAGUCUCAACCCAGCAUUUCCAAACUUCUUUGAGCCUAAAACUCUUUUCUCUCAUACCUGGUCCCAGACCCCCACAAAACAUGUUUUGCAGAACUUCUGCCAACUUUGGGAUAGCUUACCCCCUUCCUAUUCGGGGAAAGGUUUUAUUGCUUGCAGACCCCUCAGAAGCUAGCGUGUGGUGUAUGUGGGCUGUUUUCCCCAGCUCAGCCUGGGUCAUGAACAAACGGGCAGUUUGGCCUGAAUCUUGGGGCAGGUUGGGGAGAGCACACAGACUCUGUGAUUUGGGGAGUGGGAGAGCUUUGACCUUGGGGAGAGGAGAGCCAUUGGUUUUUAGCCUAAGCCGGCUCUUUUACAUUUUGCUUCUGGGACUUGUCCCUGGAAAUGUGUGAGCUUCUGGCCUCAGUUCUGAUUUUCUUGUGCCUCGUGAGUUACAUACGACAUCCUGCGCCUAAUAUUUUGUGAUGUGUCUCCCGAUACUAUUAAGGUGGUUUUGUAAUUUGCGUGGCUUAAAAUCUAAUGUUACUAAGGUUGGGAGCACUCCUUUGAAGGGAGGAUAAACAAGUUUCAUCUUGUGAGCCAGUUUCUAAUAUUUGAUGGUGGCUACACUGUGACAAGAAAGGUUUUGAGCUUGUUUGGGGUCAGUGGAUGGGCACAAGAGUGCCCAGUGGCGGUACCUGGGCCAGGUUUUUGUUACUUGUCUUUUUAAGUUGAAAAUUCACCCUUCUGUGCAGUCUAACUGAAAAUAAAAGAGACCACGCCUGGGCAACAUGGCAAAACCCCAUCUCUACAAAAAAACUACAAAAGAUUAGCCAGGGAUGGUGGGGCAUGCAGUGGUCCCAGCUACUUGGGAGGCUGAGGUGGGAGAAUCACCUGAGCCUGGGAGGUUGAGGCUGCAGUGAGCUAUGGUCACACCACUGCACUCUAACCUGGGUGACAGAGUGAGACCCUGUCUCAAAAGAAAAAAAUGGUUUUUAACUCAAAUGGGCAGAGUUUAGGCUGUACCUAUGCGGUGGCCAUUUGAACCUCACAACAGUGGGGUUUUAAACUAGUGACAAAGGCACAGGUGCUUGCAGGCUGCCAUGUUGAGAUGGAAACGGCCAUAUGUGUCAUCAUGUUAAACUGACAAGUGUUUCAAGCUGUUCUGCUUGAAUUUUGAAGACACAUGGAUCUUUUUUUUUUUUCAAUAUUUCAAAAUAAGCAUGGCAGGCUUCUAUUGAGGUUUGAACUUUUCUCAUUUCUAAAGAAUUAGAGUUGUAACUUCGUGUUAGUUGUAAGUUUGGAGUUUGGUCGUCACCCAAGUUGGAAAGCUGUUUGCUUAAGACAUAACUGUAUUAUAAUAAUAGAAGGGAGGGAGUAGAAAGCUGAUGAACCCUUGUUGCUUAUAGCAAACUUCCUGCUGUUUAAAAUGCACAGAGAUUAUUUUAUCAACUGACUGUACUUAGCACGCAAUUGGUAUUUUCAUUGUUCUACCAUUUUAUUGAGGCUAUCAAGUGGGACUUCAGACCUUGCUCUGAGCAGAACCACAUGUGUAUUUAUACCUACGGGAUAUUCAGCUUUGAGAUGGGCACCCAAAUGCUGAGGGGAAGUGGGGUCCAUCCUCUGAGGUCCAGGGUCCUACUUCGUGAGCUCAGGUGUGUUCACCUGUGGUUCAGUGUACCUCGACCCCUAAGCCAAGUGAUCGUUCAGUGACUUGCAGCAAUGUGGGAAGUGAGGGGACCCCUGCCAUACCCCCCAACAUCCGCUGUAGAGCACCGACCUUCAUCCCUCACCCUGGUCCUCCAUGGUGCAGCAGCAUCUCAUGGGCCUUGCGGCUCUCAGAGCUCGUGGUUGGAACCCUGUCCACUCGUCCCAAACCUGGAGGGGCAGCUGCAGAUAAGGUUUGGACCCCCUGGUGCCUCUGUGGAUUCUGAGUGCCCGGGAGGGGAGGGGAGGGGAGGGGGGAAGGUGGCAUCCUGGCCUCCAGGAUAAAUGCCUGGAAUAUACGGCAGCGCCACGGGCACUUGGAGACCCUGUCCUGCGCAUCUGCCAAGCCUGGCAAUUUUUAGAGUUUUUUGAAAUGUUUUGAUACUUUUUGAUACAAUUUGCUAAUAACUGUUUUAUAGAAUGCCUGACGGGGGUUUUCCACCUCAUCCCCUUCCUCCGGCCCCUUGAUUUGUGCUGGACAACAGAUGGCCAGUGGUCAGCACCAGGACCUCGCCUCGUGUGGCUUUGUCUUGGAUCUUGCCCUUCUCCGUCACUGAUGCGAUGCAGCUCUAGAAUUUCAUGAAGCUGCAUGCAAAGUUGCACGCAGCCCAUGGGUAUGACUGUCUCAGGCCCCCAGCUGAUUUGCCAAGAGGAAACCUUAAUUCCCUUGAGAGGGUCUGCAUUUCUUCCAGAGCUCCUACCUCAGUGGUGUGCACAGAGUUGGAGAGACACCUGAGGGCCGGUCCACGUCUCACCUUUGCCAUACGGGUCAUUUCUUGAUCAAAUAUAUGACUGGGGUCCUGGUUUACUCCCGUCCACCCUUUCUUUUAAAGUAUUCUUAACAUGAAAUCCACAAAAGCAGAAACAAUGAACCAUUCUUGCACUUUACAGAAUCAUUGUCCUUAGCUUUAGAGGUUGUUAAUUUUUGUUGUUUUUAACAUGAAUAGAAUGUGUGGUUCUGAAGGUGUGUGGGGGUCUCAAGAAAUUGUCCUUUGGGGCUGGGCGCGGUGGCUCACACCUGUAAUCCCAGCACUUUGGGAGGCCGAGGGGGGCGGAUCACCUGAGGCCAAGAGUUCGAGACCAUCCUGACCAACAUCGUGAAACCCCGUCUGUCCUAAAAUACAAAAAUUAGACAGUCGUGGUCGCCUGUAAUCUCAGCUCUUCAGGAGGCUGAGGCAGGAGAAUCACUUGAAUCCAGGAGGCAGAGGUUGCAGUGAGCCGAGAUUGCACCACUGCACUCCAGCCUGGGUGACAGAGUAAGACUCUGUCUCAAAAAAAGAAAAGAAAAGAAAUUGUCCUUUGGUUGCCUUAGUUACCAGAGUUGAAUGAAUGUACAUAUUUCGGUAGUUGGGGGGGAGGGCAGAGCGGAUAACCCCUUCCUUGUCUGUUUCCUUUGAGAAAAGACGCUCCACCUUUUCUCAGUUACUUAAAGCCAUCUUUACAGAUUGCUUGUAAUGUGAGGAAAGAGUCCUGUCCUUUGGAUUGAUGGAGGUUAAGUCAUCAACCACUAGCCCCCUUUCAAAAUCAGCGAGAUAUUUGAUGAUUAAGUGAUUCAUUGGGUAUGUUCUGGCUACUGAUGUUACUGAAAUCUGCAAUCGUGUAUGUUUUUUAAUUUGUUGCUUUUGUAUUUGUAAUUUUAUGACAUUCGAAGUUUCUGUGUCUUAACUCUUUUUAAUUAAUUUUCUGCACGUUGCUUUUUUCUCUGUUUUUAAUUCCAUACAGAGUAUUCAAUUCUUGAAACACAUUAAAAUAAUUUGCUUGC